GUUUUGCAUAUUAACUUUUUUUUCUUUUCUUUUUUUAAUUAACCUUUUCUUUUCUUUUCUUCGUUGCGAAGUAAUAGACCGAUGACUUGUCGCACUUACACUGUCAUCAUAUUGUUUGAUUUGAUGGGUUGGUGGUGCGGUGGGCCAUACAUUAAUUGACGGAUCACGUUGUUCAGCAUUAACUUUAUUUUCUACAUCUUCUUUUUUUGAUACGACUUUCUACAUCUUCAAAGCAACGAAAUUUCCUGGAAUUAUCAUCUUAUUAAAAAUAUAGCCAUUGUCACAAACGAUCCGCACUUCUGUCCCUAACCCCUCCGAGCAAAAGAAAAGCGAUGAGCUCAGUUCAAGAAAGCCUUCUUACCUGUUCGAACAAAGUUGGGCUUCCAAAAUCCAUUAGCUUAUGGCUCAUGAUAUUAAUCCUUUACAUCUCCAGCACUACAGCUACAAUUUUAAUUGUUCUUCCGCAAGUAAACGUGGACGGAAGUCGAGUUCCAGUCUUCUUCAGAGACCGACCGACAUACUACCUUUGUUAGUUAUAGUGCCAUUUGCUGUUGGAUAUGAAUGUCAAUAUUUAACGAAUUUCAGAGUUGUGUAGUGCUCUCUAUUGCUCUCUCCUCUACCAAGCUCCUUAUCAACUCCGUUCGGAGAUGGUGCAGGAUUAUUAAAUUCUACGGCAAUAGAUUUAUUAAGUACUAAUCAAAUUAUAGUUAAUUUGUUGAAUUUGAGCACAACUUUUAUUAUUUAGCAAAAGAAGAAAUAAAAUAUUUUUGAGAAAAAUAUAUGAUGAGGUUUA